GGAGACCGAGCUAGACCAGAGCGACGAGGGGGAGCAGCGCGAGGCUUAAAACGAGAAAGAAGAAAGAACAGGGAGCGGCCGGUCCCUGAGAUGGGCUGUCGACCCAAAGAGAGGAAAGCCAGCUGCCCCUCACUUUGCACUCUGCCAAAGCAGGCCAGCCUGCCAGGCCUCUGGGGACAGGUGUCCUGCCCAACUGGAGAAUCUCCCCGAGGGCUUACCUGGGAAACACCUGUCACUCAACCAGGCGAUUUACUCCAACUUCAAGUCCAGCUUGUUAAAAAGUAGAAGACUGUCUACAUCGCAGUAAACAGAUAUCCCAAGAAGCAAUUCCUGCAGUGUUUGAAUGGAUCCAUCCAGUUUGCUUUGCUUUCCACCUCGCAGCUAGCCCAGGGUUGGCUCUUGCAAGCAAGAAGGCUGGAAACUUCUGUGAAGGGAAGGAGUCAUUUUAUUACUUUUGGAAUCCUUGGAAGGCAGCCUAGGGGCUCAAGACUGGGACUGGGGCUAGGACAAGGGAAGUGCAUCCAGGACAGAUUUAGGCCUUUUCAAAGUUUUGCUGGUGGCUGCCUGGCUGAGAGCCCAAGAAAAAAAGGAGGAAACUCCCUUUCUCUGCUUCCUCUCUUUUCCCUCUCUGCUCCCUUCUAGGAGCCAAGCUAUGGGAGCGCCAUGGGUUAUCAUUAGUGAUCUCUUCAGGUUAGUUUCAGGCAC
rnacentral:lncRNA from 1 species